rnacentral:piRNA from 1 species
UGUGCACCUCAUGAAUGACCGCUGU